CGGCGCAGCAACAAAUAGCCUCAGCCCCACCUCCGAGUGUUGUUAUCAGAAGCUCCGCCCUGUCCCCGCCCACCUCCCUGCGAAAGCCCAAUCAGAAUGCGACGGGGCAGGCCACGCCCCGCCGGGUUCGCCUCCACCGCCUCAGAGAGACACACACAAACAACUAGCUUGCUGCAGCCCGGCACAAAGAGCGCGCACUGCGCAGGCGCUGCCAGCGGGCUCUUUGGCCAAGAGUGGGUCCCGCGAACAAUGAAGUUCCGUCUCAGCGUCACCUCCCCCACCCUUCUUUUUCGUAGCCCCAGCACUUCGCCUUGAAGGUCAGCAAAUUGACGUUGGGUUUGGGAUCCAAUGAGGAGAAUGGCCUGGCAAAAGUUGGUGGUGAAGAGCAGGCAAAGAUUAUGGAACCUCUGGAAUGAGUUCCCAGGAAUCCAAGAGAAGUGAGAGAACCUAUGGAAACUCUGGGGAUCUCUGACCUUUCUUGGAAAGUUGGAUUUCUAGCAACACUGUCCCAUCAUCCGUGGUGAAGCGACAGUUGGCUGGAGAUCUAGAGAUGAGGACAUCAUCCUGGAUUAUCUGGGUGGGUCCUAAAUCCAGUGACAAGUGUCCUUGUAAGAGACACACAGAACAGAGACACACAAAAGAGGAGGAGGCAGUGUGACCACAGAGGCAGAGAUUGGAGCGAGACGGCCACAAGGAAAGGAACACCCAGAACCACCAGAACCUGGAAGACACGAGGAACUGAUUUUCCCCUGGAGCUUUCAAAGGGAGCACAACCCUUCCUUUUGGACUUCGAGCCUCUAGAACUAAGAGAGAAUAAAUUUCUGUUGUUUUAA